rnacentral:misc_RNA from 1 species
UUUGUUUUUUAAUAAAAACUAGAAUGAAAGGUUAUACAUUCAAAUUUCUUUAUUAAUUUUUAAUAAAUAAUUUAUACUAAAUAUAAAAAUAUAUUUAUAAAAAAAAAAGACGACAAGACCCUAUUAAAUUUUACUUAUAGUUUAGCUGGGGAAGCUUUUCAAUUAAAAUUUUUUAAAAUCUUAAAAUAAAUAUCUAAUUAAAAUUAAAAUUUAAAUAAAUUACUAUAGGGAUAACAGCAUUAUAUUUUUUAAAAGUUCAUAUUAAAAAAAAUGAUUGUGACCUCGAUGUUGAAUUAUAUUUUCUAUAUUUAAUGCAAUAAUUAUAAAAGUAGAUCUGUUCGAUCUUUAAAAUAUUACAUGAUUUGAGUUCAAACCGGUGUAAACCAGGUUGGUUUCUAUCUUUUUACAUAUUUUUCCAGUACGAAAGGACAAAAAAAUUUUUAUUUUAAUAAAUUAGCAAAUAAAUGCAUUAGAUUUAGAAUCUAAAUAUAUUUAAAUU